rnacentral:lncRNA from 1 species
CAACAUAACUUAAAAAAAAAAAUCUACAUUUUUAUAAAAUUUGAUUUAAAAAUAGUAUUUCAAACAGUAGAGUCACUAGAAGUACAGAGCUAUCAAAAAGGUACACUUCAUUUGGCAUCCCCAGGGCCUUCUGCUUUCUGUGACUGGACUGUAGAGGCAUCUCCGUUUUUCGCAGGGUUGUUCCCAUCCUUGCCGACUUCUGCUUUCCCCUUUCUCCCUUUGGCCAGCUUCUCUCCCUUCUUUGCAUGGGCCUUUUUUGGCCUGGGCUCUGGUUUUGGAAGGGCAGGUUUAGCAGACAACCGUGCUGAUCUCCUCUGUGGCUCAUCCUUCACCUUCCCUUUGUCAUCUUUAGCAUCUCCUUUUGCCUUUCUCUUGGGCAUGGUGGCAGCAGCGCUUGGCAGCCCAAGGGGUUCUUCUGUCUUUCUCACUGUUCCUAGAAAGAUUUCCGAGUCUCGCGGCCGUCCGAGGGGCACGGGACUCCCAGCUGCCGGCCUGCAGCGCCGGUGCCCGGGGCUGAGGCAAGGCCGUCACGGACCGCAGGCUGGCGAAAAGACGCCCGGAGAUGGGCGCUGCCGGGAACAGGAAGGCAAGUCAAGGCCUGUAAGGUAUCUUUUAGAAAACGAACAUUUUUUUACACAAAAUACCCUCUAACUGGGGUGGGGGCUAACAUUUUAUGUAGCUUUAAUCUGUUGUUGGGGGUACUGAAAUACCAAGGAAGAGCUGAACAGUACUAUUUUCUACAAUACGGUAGCAAGUGAUAUCUCAGAAAUCAUGGAGAUCAGUAAUAUAAAGAAGGGCUAAAAAAAAUUGAACUACUUUCCUUAAAAUAAUUCAGAUUGAUGGGUCAUUCACAGUCCUGUUAACACAUAACAACUGUAUGCUCCAGGUAAUUAGGAUGACAUUGUUGCCAGCAUAAAAGUGACAUCAGAACCUGUUUUCAUUGGCAUUGGAUCCGCCAGCCCUGUCACCUCUGACUGCCUGGUCCCACAUCUAUUAACCCUAUUGAUUGGGAGUCCUGCUGAGCCUCACCAGAAAACUGCUCCUUGCUGAAAGCUGGAGUGGAUCAACCCUGAACCAUGAACAAGAAUUCAAUAAUACAACACAGUACGACAUUUAACCAUUAAGUAUUCCUUAAAGUAAAUCAAAUUACGGACCUUGCCAUAAUGAAGAUCUUUUAAGAUUUUGAGAAGUCAAUUGAUUCCAAGUCCCCAAAAGUCUAGAAGGGGCAUCAGGCUGUGACAAGAGAUACCUUAUUUUCCUCUGUUGUGACCUAAUUAAUUGAAAUAAUAAGAAGGGCUGAGUUUGUGUAAUCAAGAUGGCUAUCAC